rnacentral:rRNA from 1 species
CAGUUCGGAUUGCAGGCUGCAACCCGCCUGUAUGAAGUUGGAAUCGCUAGUAAUCGCGGAUCAGCAUGCCGCGGUGAAUACGUUCCCGGGCCUUGUACACACCGCCCGUCACACCAUGAGAGUCGGGAACACCCGAAGUCCGUAGCCUAACCGCAAGGGGGCGCGGCCGAAGGUGGGUUCGAUAAUUGGGGUGAAGUCGUAACAAGGUAUC